GUGAGCGCGCUGCGAUGAAAGUCGCACGGUGCGUUCCUGGAAGGGGGGGAGGGUGGUAACACCCUCUCCCUAUUCGAC
rnacentral:ncRNA from 1 species